GUGCAUAUUCAAUCACUAGUUCUGUAUGAUGUUGCAGAAACAAGGGGAAUGUGUCUGCAAAAGUGAAUUUGGCUAGGGUCAGUGGCUCAUACACCU